CAAGUCGAACGAUGAAGCUUCUAGCUUGCUAGAAGUGGAUUAGUGGCGCACGGGUGAGUAAGGUAUAGUUAAUCUGCCCUACACAAGAGGACAACAGUUGGAAACGACUGCUAAUACUCUAUACUCCUGCUUAACACAAGUUGAGUAGGGAAAGUUUUUCGGUGUAGGAUGAGACUAUAUAGUAUCAGCUAGUUGGUAAGGUAAUGGCUUACCAAGGCUAUGACGCUUAACUGGUCUGAGAGGAUGAUCAGUCACACUGGAACUGAGACACGGUCCAGACUCCUACGGGAGGCAGCAGUAGGGAAUAUUGCGCAAUGGGGGAAACCCUGACGCAGCAACGCCGCGUGGAGGAUGACACUUUUCGGAGCGUAAACUCCUUUUCUUAGGGAAGAAUUCUGACGGUACCUAAGGAAUAAGCACCGGCUAACUCCGUGCCAGCAGCCGCGGUAAUACGGAGGGUGCAAGCGUUACUCGGAAUCACUGGGCGUAAAGGGCGCGUAGGCGGAUUAUCAAGUCUCUUGUGAAAUCUAAUGGCUUAACCAUUAAACUGCUUGGGAAACUGAUAGUCUAGAGUGAGGGAGAGGCAGAUGGAAUUGGUGGUGUAGGGGUAAAAUCCGUAGAUAUCACCAAGAAUACCCAUUGCGAAGGCGAUCUGCUGGAACUCAACUGACGCUAAGGCGCGAAAGCGUGGGGAGCAAACAGGAUUAGAUACCCUGGUAGUCCACGCCCUAAACGAUGUACACUAGUUGUUGGGAUGCUAGUCAUCUCAGUAAUGCAGCUAACGCAUUAAGUGUACCGCCUGGGGAGUACGGUCGCAAGAUUAAAACUCAAAGGAAUAGACGGGGACCCGCACAAGCGGUGGAGCAUGUGGUUUAAUUCGAAGAUACGCGAAGAACCUUACCUGGGCUUGAUAUCCUAAGAACCUUAUAGAGAUAUGAGGGUGCUAGCUUGCUAGAACUUAGAGACAGGUGCUGCACGGCUGUCGUCAGCUCGUGUCGUGAGAUGUUGGGUUAAGUCCCGCAACGAGCGCAACCCACGUAUUUAGUUGCUAACGGUUCGGCCGAGCACUCUAAAUAGACUGCCUUCGUAAGGAGGAGGAAGGUGUGGACGACGUCAAGUCAUCAUGGCCCUUAUGCCCAGGGCGACACACGUGCUACAAUGGCAUAUACAAUGAGACGCAAUACCGCGAGGUGGAGCAAAUCUAUAAAAUAUGUCCCAGUUCGGAUUGUUCUCUGCAACUCGAGAGCAUGAAGCCGGAAUCGCUAGUAAUCGUAGAUCAGCCAUGCUACGGUGAAUACGUUCCCGGGUCUNNNACUCACCGCCCGUCACACCAUGGGAGUUGAUUCACUCGAAGCCGGAAUACUAA
rnacentral:rRNA from 1 species